UACGUAGGGUGCGAGCGUUAAUCGGAAUUACUGGGCGUAAAGCGUGCGCAGGCGGUUUUGUAAGACAGAUGUGAAAGCCCCGGGCUCAACCUGGGAAUGGCAAUGGAUACUGGACAGCUAGAGUGCGGUAGAGGGUAGUGGAAUUCCCGGUGUAGCAGUGAAAUGCGUAGAGAUCGGGAGGAACACCAGUGGCGAAGGCGGCUACCUGGACCAGCACUGACACUGAAGCACGAAAGCGUGGGGAGCAAACAGG
rnacentral:rRNA from 1 species